GUGGGAAGGGGGGUUGACUGGGGCAUGGCGGGCUGCACAAGGAUAUAACUAACUGUCACUGUUUCAGAUUCAGUAUCUGUCACAUCACAUUCUGUAUGCAGGAAGAGCCUAUGAAUGUGGCAACGGCCACAAGGCUGUUGAGUCUGUGCCAGCUACUUGCCAUGACUUUUUUUUAGCAAGCAUACCUUAGGAAACUGAACUUCGCUUGAAACUGAAACUACCCUCCCAAAAUCAUCUCCAAGGCUUUCACCCUGUCACCCAGGCUGGCAGGCUGGAGUUCAGUGGCACAAUCAUGACUCACUGCAGCCUUGACCUCCAAGCUCAGCAUCUUCUAUAGAGACAGCUUUAUGAAGUCUUCCUUCUGGGUUAUUUACAGACUAAAUGAGACAGUGUAUAUCUAACAUUGCUUUGUGGAUGCUAUCAAGUGCUGGCAAAUGUGUGGGAGAAUGAAUGGAAAACUUCAUCAAUUUCUAGGAUAGUAAAUUGGUGCUGCUAUUUUGGAGAGCAAUUUGUCAGCCUUCAGGGGAAACUGAAUAUGCACAUCCUCUAAGACCCAGCAGUUUCACUUCAAAGAAAAUUUCUUAUAUGCACAGAGACUUGUACAAGGAUAUUUAUCACAGCACUGUUUGUAAUAACAAAGGGCUGGAAAUAAACCAAAUGGCCAAUGAUAAGAAUUGAUAAAUGUGGUAAAUGCCUAAAAUAGAAUGUCACACAGCAGUUAAAAAAUCAUUUAUUCACUAAUUAAGCAAAGGACAAAAAGCCUCAACAGAAAAAAAAAGACAAAAGCCUUGAAUAGUCACUUUGCCAAAUGUUCAAUACACGUACAAAAACAUGGGCAAGUUCAUUGGUUGUCAAGGAAGUUCGAAUUAAAGCCACAUUUUGCAGGUACAACACUGGCACAAGUUUAAGUCUGAUGAUACCAAGUCUUGGAGAAGGUUGAAGCUACUGGAAAACCUGCCCUCUGCUGGUGGGAGUGCAAAUUGCUCCAAGCUCUUUGGACAAUAAUUUGGCAUCCUCUAGUGAAGUUGAAGAUGUGUGUGCUUGAGACUCAGCAAUUCCCCUUUGUGACAUCAGGAUGCUCCCGCACAUAUGCUUAAGAACAUUCAUGCCAGCUUUGUUUAUAUAACAAAAACGUGGAAAUAACCCAAAUGUCUGAGGAUGGGGAAUGGACAAAUAAUGGUUCAUAGUUAUGAAAAUGAAUACACAACAGCUACAAGCAUCUACUGGAAUGAAUCUCACAUGCAUUGUGUUGUAGAAGAAUAUGUAUAAUUCCAUUUAUGUAAAGUUUAAAAGCAUGCACAACUAAAUGAUAUGUUAUUUAUGAGUAUAUGACAUAUAUGAUAAAGGCAAAGAAUAAAUAAAGUAAGGAAAGGUAAGACAAUAAGAGUUUGUGAUACUGGUUACCUAUUAUGGGGAAGGAUGUUGGGGACAGGUGGGACACCUUGGGGAUUAUCUGAUACUGGCAAUCUGACAGGUGGUAGGUCACCAGGUGUUCUUAUUAACUUCAAUACUCUAUAUAUCCUAACACUGGUAAAUCUCAAGUAUGUAAUACUGAAUGAAAAAAAAUCAAAAGUCAAAUAGUACAGUCCUAUUUGUGAAGAAAAACUAACCCACGUGAAUAAAGUAUUGUUAGGGAUGCCUCUCUAUGUAAAUAAAGCCGUACAGGGCAGCUACAUGUUAAAUUCGUUGGCGUGUGCACAUACAGUGGAAUGAUAAUGGGAUUAGGGACUGAGUGAAGGGGAGGGCAGUACAUAACAUUUCAAAAUGGUAAACAUGAAAAUGGGGCUGUUUGUGAACUCCUGAUGCUUGUGUGCCAUGAACUGACUUGAGGUGGUUAAAUUAAGCAAUUCGCUCUCUUUCCAUGCAUGUGAUAUCCCAAAGGGAAAGAAAGGUUGCUUUGCAAAUUAGAAUAAUCAAAAUCAAGUAUGAACCAUUAAACAUGUUUUGCUUGCUGGUAGAUUAAGGAUCACACUGGAUAUACAGUAGAAAAUAAAGCUAUUUGCUAAUGUGCCUUGAAUCUUUAGUCAAAAAUCUGUCAUGAACUGAGACACAUGCUGAAUUUCCUUCUUUUCUCCUCUUUUAAAAUAAAUAAUAAGUUAUAAGGGAUCUUUGGGUUGAUUUAAAAUGACCACCAGCCAUUAUUACAGCACAUCUAAGCUACUGACGUGGCCUCUUUGCUGUUUACACCGACUUAUAGCUGUUCUAGACCCAACUCUAUCCUUUUUAGGCUGGUCAAAAAUUCAACACCAAUAUCUUCAUUCUAGAGAACUUUAACUACAUAAUGGCAAAAAUGAUAAGGCAGAAAACUGAAAACAAAGCAAUACAAAAUCCUAUAAUAAUUGAAAAGAAAAAAAUAAAAAUGUCCUUAUUUUCAGAAGAUAUGUAUCUAGAAAAUCCCAGUGAAUUAAUUGGAAUGGAACUAAUAAGACAAUUCAUUCAAUGAGAUGGCCAGGCAGAAAAUGAAGAUAGAAAUAUCAAAGACUUCCCUAUGUGUAUGUGCAUACCUUAGUUAGAAAGC
rnacentral:lncRNA from 1 species